rnacentral:rRNA from 1 species
CGGACGAACGCUGGCGGCGUGCCUAAAAACAUGCAAGUCGAACGGUCCGAUUGAAAGAUUGGAUAGUGGCGGACGGGUGAGUAACACGUGAGCAACCUGGCUUAAAGAGGGGGAUAACGCAGGGAAACCUGUGCUAAUACCGCAUAAAAUGUAUUGACCGCAGUGGGCGAUACAUCAAAGGAGAAAUCCGCUUUAAGAUGGGCUCGCGUCCGAUUAGAUAGUUGGCGGGGUAACAGCCCACCAAGUCUACGAUCGGUAGCCGGACUGAGAGGUCGAACGGCCACAUUGGGACUGAGAUACCGGCCCAGACUCCUACGGGAGGCAGCAGGUUGGGGAUAUUAGGCAAUGGGGGAAACCCUGACCUAGCAACGCCGCGUGAAGGAAGAAGGUCUUCGGAUUGUAAACUUCUUUGACGAGGGAAGAAUAAUGACGGUACCUCGAAAACAAGCCACGGCUAACUACGUG